rnacentral:lncRNA from 1 species
AAACAAGGGUCAUUUCUAAGGCCAUUGAAACGAAAGUGCCGAUGCAAAGAGACAUUCACAGUAUUAUUCACACUACUCGACUUGGUUUCAUUUGUUUCUUAUUUGUAACCUUCACAACACAUAUUUCACAACUCCAUUUUUAUUUUUUUCUUCCAAGCAAGCAUUCAUUUUCAUUCUUUUAUUUUUGUUCUUUUCUUUCACAUCAUAUAUACAAAACAAAUGUUCUUUUCUAUAUUUUCUAUACAUAUAUUU